GGAGGAAACUGUGAUGCAGCGAUGCCGCGUGAGUGAAGAAGGCCUUUGGGUUGUAAAGCUCUUUCGUCGGGGAAGAAAAUGACUGUACCCGAAUAAGAAGGUCCGGCUAACUUCGUGCCAGCAGCCGCGGUAAUACGAAGGGACCUAGCGUAGUUCGGAAUUACUGGGCUUAAAGAGUUCGUAGGUGGUUAAAAAAGUUGGUGGUGAAAGCCCAGAGCUUAACUCUGGAACUGCCAUCAAAACUUUUUAGCUAGAGUAUGAUAGAGGAAAGCAGAAUUUCUAGUGUAGAGGUGAAAUUCGUAGAUAUUAGAAAGAAUACCAAUUGCGAAGGCAGCUUUCUGGAUCAUUACUGACACUGAGGAACGAAAGCAUGGGUAGCGAAGAGGAUUAGAUACCCUCGUAGUCCAUGCCGUAAACGAUGUGUGUUAGAUGUUGGAAAUUUAUUUUCAGUGUCGCAGCGAAAGCAAUAAACACACCGCCUGGGGAGUACGACCGCAAGGUUA
rnacentral:rRNA from 1 species